rnacentral:rRNA from 1 species
UACGUAGGGGGCACGCGUUGUCCGGAAUCAUUGGGCGUAAAGAGCGUGUAGGCGGCCAGAUAAGUCCGCUGUGAAAUCUCGAGGCUCAACUUCGAGCUGUCGGUGGAAACUGUCUGGCUAGAGUCCGGAAGAGGAGAAUGGAAUUCCUGGUGUAGCGGUGAGAUGCGCAGAUAUCAGGAAGAACACCCGUGGCGAAGGCGGUUCUCUGGGACGGUACUGACGCUGAGACGCGAAAGCGUGGGGAGCGAACAGG